rnacentral:rRNA from 1 species
UACGUAGGGGGGCAAGCGUUGUCCGGAUUUAUUGGGCGUAAAGAGCGUGUAGGCGGCUUGGUAGGUCCGCUGUGAAAACUCGAGGCUCAACCUCGAGAUGUCGGCGGAAACCACUUGGCUAGAGUCCGGAAGAGGAGAGUGGAAUUCCCUGGUGUAGCGGUGAAAUGCGCAGAUAUCAGGAAGAACACCUAUGGCGAAGGCAGCUCUCUGGGACGGUACUGACGCUGAGACGCGAAAGCGUGGGGAGCGAACAGG